GGGUAUAUAGCUCAAUUGGUAGAGCAAUGGAAUCAUAAUCCCUGCGCUGUAGGUUCAAGUCCUACUAUACCUA
rnacentral:tRNA from 1 species